GUUGAGUCAUCAUAAGCUGGUCAAUAUGGUCUUGUCUUCCAGCAUAAUGAUAAUGUCAGAAAUGACACAUGGAGGCUUGUCCAAGCUUUCCAGCACAGAUCAGCACUCACACAGCAGGCUAACCCUUCAGCCCAGAUCUGAACAUGAACAUGUGUGAGAGUCACUGCCAGGUCCCAGUCCAGGCAGGCAGAGCUCAGCAGCUUCGAGACGUGAGAAGAGCCCUGGUCAGGAGCCAGCGAUCUGUGUGCUUCUGUCCUGGCCGGUGAGGAGGGGCUGCACAGCUGUGGUCCUGGCUGGGACGCAGGGAGGUGUGAGCUCUCCCUCUCGCUGGGGCGUGGGGAGUGCACUGGGCCUGAGCCUCUCUGGAGUCUGGAGCUGGGGGUGAAGUGGCCUCAGCACACCAGGGCUGUAGAGGAGACAGAGCAGCUCCUGUCUGUCCAUGUGCUGCUGAGAGCUGACUGACUGAGACACAGAAACUCUGCAUGACUCCUCUCUUCUCUUUCCCUACAGCUUCCUGUUUUGGUUUGAUGUUCAGUAUUGGAUUCAUAGACGGAUUCUAUUUUGUUAUUACUACACAAACAGAUCCAAUAAAAUACAUAACUGGACUGGUUGUAAGUUUUGUAGCUCUGCUUGUGCUUGUGCUUUUUAAGGAGCGGUGUGGUCUCUGGGGAGCACGUGCAUCUUUGUGUCACAGACUUGCUCUUGUGGCUUUGCUGACAGUUCUAAUCACAUUCAGCUUGCUUUGGCUGAACGAGGCUCCAGAGAGUGACAGAGGGCGACUCGGACGGAUGUGUGAAUCAGCAUUUCUUAUCAUUCUGUUUGGUCUGGAAACAGUUGAACCUCUCAGCAAAAUCUCUGGUAAAGUAUAAUAUAUUGAGCUCUGUGCACUGGUCACUGGUACAGUACAGUGUGUUGAGCUCUGUGCUCUGGUGACUGGUACAGUACAGUGUGUUGAGCUUUGUGUUCUG